UUGUUUUUACAUAAAACCCCCUGCAAUUUAAAACCAUACCAAUUGCAAAUAUGAUCAAAUCAACCAAUUCAUGUCAUAUUCUCAUUUCCUAUUCUAAAUACUUCUAAUCAAACUCAAUCUAUAUGAUAUCAAUUUAAAAUUUAACAAUGUACUAAUUAGGUAAAAUAGAUAAACUUCUUUCAUUAAAAUUCAUAAACUUUUAAUACUAACAUUUUUAACCAUUUAUAUUAAAACAUAAUAACCUUUAUACACAAUCUAUGUACAUGCCACCUUUACCAAAGGAAAAAUACAUCACCAAGUUUUGCUGAAGUCGGGAUUGAUCUGGAUGCUGAACUGGGACCUUUGACUUCUAUCGACCUGCGCACGGAAACAACCGUAUGCUGAGUAUUUCAUACUCAGUGGUAUUACCAUAAUUCAAAUUAUAACAAUAAUAAACAUAUAAUGCAUAAAUCUUAUAUACAAAUUUUAAUUCAAUAUCUCAACAAUAGCAAUUCAUCAAUUAAUAUCAUACAUCCACAAUUUGAUUUUAGACAUAUCAUGAACUUUAGGUUCAUUUCUCAGUCUCGUAGCACAAUUCAAUUCACAAUUCAACUUUUUCAUUUCAUAUCAGUAUCUCGUUUGAUCAACUCGUUCGGUUUAUCAUUUCAUCAUUUACCCUAUUAACAAAACUCGGACUUUGGUGGAUACACGGAUCCAACCAAACACACCAAUAUGGCACCCAGUGCCUCAUCGGAUAGUUCGAAGCAAUAGUUGACACCCAGUGUCUCAUCGGCAAAGCCGAAGAAAGUUGGUACCCAGUACCUCAUCGAAUCUAUCCGAAGAAAUAUAGUGACACCCAGUGUCUCAUCGACUCGAGGUCGAAGUAUCCCUGAACUCUUCCAAUCCUAUGGCAUGCCAACUAUAUCCGACUCAGCUCGACUAGUUAGUAGGGUUUUUAAAUCACAUAUAAUCUCAAUUCAAUCACAAUUUCUCACAUUUUCAAUUCAAUCAUUUUUCCACCUUUCAAUCAAUAAUUAAUCCACAAUUCAUACAUUUUCAAAACUCAAUACAUUUCCAUUCAAUUUAAUAUCAGUCACACUUCGAUUCACAUUCACUUCCCAUUUUCAAUCAACAAACAAUUCAAAUAUUAAUUCAUAUCAAUUAUUUAAUUCCCACUCAUUUUAAUAAUAAUGAUAAUAAUAAUAACAAUAAUAAUAAUAAUAAUAAUGCUAAUAUUCAUACUUACCUCACAUUUCAUUUACUAAACACAUAAAUUAAAAUUUAACAUUUAAAAAUAAAUAAUUUGAAUUAUAGUAAUACAAACCGUGAUUUUCUCGAGUUUACUCCUCGAUAAUCUUCUCCUUUCCCUUUGAUGCUGGUGCCUCGGGUUCUUUGUUAGCUACGAAAAUAAUAAUAAUUUAUACUAUUAAUUUCAGCACUAAUUAUGAUAAAUAAUUGAAUUUCUAUUCAAUUUCUUCCUUAUUCUCAAUUUAAUCCUAACUAAAUUCACUUAUUUUCCUAACUCAAUUCACACUCUAUUUCUAUUCAAAUUCCAUCCAAACUCAAAUUUAACUAUCAAAAUUUCAGCAUAUUUUCCUAAUUUCGAAUUUCCCUCAAUUUAGUUCCUAAAACAUAAAACUCAUAGUUUCUUUUACAAUUUAAUCCAUUUUUCAAUUCUAACUUAAAAUUCAUUCAAUUUAAUCCCUUAUUCAUCUCUUUUGUUCAACAUAAACUAUACUUGAAAACCUAUGAACUUACAAAAUAUCAACUUAAUUCCAUCAAAACUUUGUUUUAAAGCUUUUAAAACAUUAGAAUUAAGAGAAAAUGGCUAAUUUGACUUACCAAUCAAAGCUUUAAACCUUAAACCUUCAAUUUUUCCUUUUUCUUUCUUUUUCUUCUUUCUCCCCUGUUUCUUCUCUGUUUCGUCCUUUCCUAUUCUGUUUCUUUUCUUCUUUUGUUUCUUUUAUUCUUUUAGUUUAUGUUUUGUUUAUUAUUUAAUAAAUAUAAUACUUUAAUAAUAUAAUAUAAUAUAAUAUUUUCUUAUAUAAUAAGUAAUUACAAAAUUUUAAUACAAAUGUAUUUAUACAAUUAUGACACAUGUAUAAAUUAUUACCAUACAUUUGUCACCAUCUUAUUUAUUUUAUAAUAUAAUAAUAAUUAUAAUAAUUUAACAAUUUAAUAAUAAU
rnacentral:lncRNA from 1 species